rnacentral:rRNA from 1 species
UACGUAGGGGGCAAGCGUUACCCGGAUUCACUGGGCGUAAAGCGCGUGUAGGCGGCUGGCCAAGCGUGGUGUGAAAUCUCCGGGCUCAACCCGGAAACUGCACUGCGAACUGGCCUGGCUGGAGUGCAGGAGAGGGAUGCGGAAUUCACGGUGUAGCGGUGAAAUUCGUAGAUAUCGGGAGGAACACCGGUGGCGAAGGCGGGUCUCUGGGCCGAUACUGACGCUGAGGAGCGAAAGCGUGGGGAGCGAACAGG